rnacentral:rRNA from 1 species
UACGUAGGUGACCAGCGUUGUCCGGAUUUACUGGGCGUAAAGGGCGCGUAGGCGGUUCGUUAAGUCCUGUGUGAAAUCCCCCGGCUCAACUGGGGAACUGCACAGGAAACUAGCGGGCUUGAGUUCGGGAGAGGGAAGCGGAAUUCCGGGUGUAGCGGUGAAAUGCGUAGAUAUCCGGAGGAACACCGGUGGCGAAGGCGGCUUCCUGGACCGACACUGACGCUGAGGCGCGAAAGCUAGGGGAGCAAACGGG